GACGAACGCUGGCGGCGUGCUUAACACAUGCAAGUCGAACGGAAAGGCCCUGCUUUUGUGGGGUGCUCGAGUGGCGAACGGGUGAGUAACACGUGAGUAACCUGCCCUUGACUUUGGGAUAACUUCAGGAAACUGGGGCUAAUACCGGAUAGGAGCUCCUGCUGCAUGGUGGGGGUUGGAAAGUUUCGGCGGUUGGGGAUGGACUCGCGGCUUAUCAGCUUGUUGGUGGGGUAGUGGCUUACCAAGGCUUUGACGGGUAGCCGGCCUGAGAGGGUGACAGGCCACAUUGGGACUGAGAUACGGCCCAGACUCCUACGGGAGGCAGCAGUGGGGAAUAUUGCACAAUGGGCGGAAGCCUGAUGCAGCAACGCCGCGUGCGGGAUGACGGCCUUCGGGUUGUAAACCGCUUUCGCCUGUGACGAAGCGCGAGUGACGGUAAUGGGUAAAGAAGCACCGGCUAACUACGUG
rnacentral:rRNA from 1 species